GCCAGUUGCCAGUUGACACUCAAGCAACCCUAGGUAGUGGCCCAUAUGACAAGGAACUGAGAUCUCCUGCCAACAGCCAUGUGAGUGAGUGAAGCGGCUCUUCCAGCCACAGACAAGCCUUCAGAAGACUGCAGCUGUGGUCGACAUCUUGGCUCAACCUCAUGAGAGACCUUAUGCCCAACUACCCAGCUAAGCAUCUCUUAAAUUCCUGAUCCAUAGAAACUCAAUCGGUCCUGUGUCAGUUGGUCUUUCUGGAAGCAGAUGCUGAGAAGUUAGAAGUGCAAGUGGUUUAUUGGGAAGUAACACCUGUGAAGAAAGAUAAAGAGGAAGCAAGAUUCCGCGGGGAGAGCCUCAGACGAUCCAACGGACUGGCCCGAGUCUAGCCAACCCAGUGGAGAGCUCCGAAGCAAAGCUGCCCUUUAGAGGAGGCUCAUCUCAUGUUGAGUAGGAUUGGCCAGACCCUGGUAGUCCUGCCGUGCUCAGACUUGGCUGUGGACUGCUCAGGAAAGCGGACCCUCGGCUUGAGCGAAAGCUCAGGAGGAUUCUGAAGGCAUUGCAGAGGAAGGCUGCCAACCACCGACACUGUGUAGCAGGACAAGUUCCCUCUUAAAGGGAGAUCCGAACAGCUCUCCUCCUUAGCUGCCACACUACAAAAUAGGGAGAAUACAUCCUCUUACAAAGCUCUUAAGCGUACGGUAAAGCUUCCAGAACUGGUUCCCAGAACUGGUUCUGAGACAGAAGAUCUGCAAUCAUUAUAAAGCAUUGCAAAUUUCAGUGAAA